CCUUCAGCCUAGGUCAUUCCUUUUCCUCCAUCUUAUUGAUUCCCUUUUUGUUUGUAUCUUUCUGGUCGCCCAGGUGUUGGCCUAGGUUGUUGUGGUCUCGGCAUCCAUUAUAAAGAUCAAUUUACAUUUGGUUUCUCCAUUCUUGGAAAUUGGAACUACGAUUUCUACCACCGUUCAUGUCAACCGAUACUAAAAAUAAUAUUUUGCAGGGUACAUGGAUCCAGCGACCUGGCAAAAUUUGUUUGAGUUCGACUUCAUUAUUGUUACAGGGAGGGCAACACAAUGGAAGGCUGUGACAUCUAAUCAAAUAUACAUGUACAGAGAACAACUAAAGGAAGGUUUGAUCUACAGAUUUGAGUCUUUUAUUGUAGCAGCAGCGCUGAGCAAAUACAAGAUAACAGAUCCUGCUUAUAUGAUCAAGAUUUCUCAAUGCACAAAGGUCAUCGAAGCCAUUCCAGAGACUGAAAACUUUCAUCUGUUCAUGUUUGAUGUUCUGCAGUCAUGCACAGGGAACAACACCGUUCUAUCAGCUUCCUGAUUAUUGUUAAUGGAUAUCAUUUCAUAGAAGACGCAUUAAGAGCCAAAGAUGCAUAUUCGCUUAAAAGAGGUUAGGUAUGGCUUUUCGUAUAGGUAGCAGUACUUCAGCAGGCUGUUAUGAAACUGCAUGCGUACUGAUAGUAAACAACCUUUGUUAAGCGGUAAACGCAAGCAUGUUCCCUCUAGGUAUUGCAAGGUAUUACUGAUGUUCUACAUAGAGGGCUACAGUGUAUGAUUUGGAUUGUUGUUACAAAUUGCUAUCUCAAAACGUACUUUGUUAUUUCUAACUUUUACUUGCCUUCCAAUUUUGCAUCUCCUAGAAUGAUAUGUUGUCCUUAUAUCAGGACCUUAAAAGCAAGAAAAAAGAUUAGGUUAUGUCGGCAUAUGAUUUUAGGUUCGAUUUUUCAGUUUAUGAAUUCCUAUAAUUUUGAUGAUUCUUUGUUACUCAACUUUCAAAGAGCAUAGUGAUUGCAAUUAUUUUCAUACUAGGUGUUGCAAAGGUGUUGUUGGUGUUUUACAUCCAUUUGCUGCACAGCUAAUAUUUCAUGGUAAUUUAUAGAACAAGGUGUCACGAAGGUAUUGGUGAUGUUCUAUGUCCAUUGCUUCACAGUUGCAUAACAUGUCUUCACAGCUGGACCCUAUUCACUGAAACAACUCUAUGAAUACACUUCUCCAUUUACCUUUCUCAGAAUGUUUUGCUUUCAUUAUACUGCAAGAAACUUGCUGUUGAUCUCCAUUUACCCUUCUCAAAAUGUUUUCCUUUUAUUAUACUGCAGGAAACUUGCUAUUGAUCUUCCUUCGACACAAGUGUUCCCACCAUAUCAAAUAUGCAAUGAAUCGGUUCAGUAGAGGAAAAUAUUAGAUGAUAUUAGUCUUAUGUCAUACUUCGCUACCACUUCUUGGGUAUUAAAUUUACAAGCUUCUAAAUUUUGUUCCGUCGAUUGGCAGGAAGUGGCCGUGCUGGGUCCGAUGGAGUGGCAGUUCAUGCUGGUGGCGGUCCUCCUACUGGUGAUCAUUUUCCUAAAUUGAUUGGUAUGCAAGCUACCAAUUUUACUUCUCCUUCAAAGACUAUCCAGAGAGAUCAU